GGACCCGUGGUGUAAUGGUAGCACAGCAGAUUUUGGUUCUGUUAGUCGGGGUUCGAUACCCUGCGGGUCUA
rnacentral:tRNA from 1 species